rnacentral:rRNA from 1 species
CUACCUGGACAUAUCACCCUGCAACCGGUUGCUCACUGAAGCUAAGCAGGGCUGAGCCUGGUCAGUACCUGGAUGGGAGACCACAUGGAAAAAACCGGGUUGCUGUUGGA